rnacentral:rRNA from 1 species
UACGUAGGGUGCGAGCGUUGUCCGGAAUUAUUGGGCGUAAAGAGCUUGUAGGCGGUUUGUCGCGUCUGCUGUGAAAAUCCGGGGCUCAACCCCGGACUUGCAGUGGGUACGGGCAGACUAGAGUGUGGUAGGGGAGACUGGAAUUCCUGGUGUAGCGGUGAAGUGCGCAGAUAUCAGGAGGAACACCGAUGGCGAAGGCAGGUCUCUGGGCCACUACAUGAC